GACGAACGCUGGCGGCGUGCUUAACACAUGCAAGUCGAACGGAAAGGCCCUGCUUUUGUGGGGUGCUCGAGUGGCGAACGGGUGAGUAACACGUGAGUAACCUGCCCUUGACUUUGGGAUAACAUCAGGAAACUGGGGCUAAUACCGGAUAGGAGCUCCUGCUGCAUGGUGGGGGUUGGAAAGAUUCGGCGGUUGGGGAUGGACUCGCGGCUUAUCAGCUUGUUGGGGGGGUAGUGGCUUACCAAGGCUUUGACGGGUAGCCGGCCUGAGCGGGUGACCGGCCACAAUGGGACUGAGAGACGGCCCAGUCUCCUACGGGAGGCAGAAGUGGGGAAUAUUGCACAAUGGGCGGAAGCCUGAUGCAGCAGCGCCGCGUGCGGGAAGACGGCCUUCGGGUGAUAAACCGCUUUCUCCUGUGACGAAGCGUGAGUGACGGUAAUGAGUAAAGAAGCACCGGCUAACUACGUG
rnacentral:rRNA from 1 species